rnacentral:rRNA from 1 species
CCCUUAGAUGUCCGGGGCCGCACGCGCGCUACACUGAAGGAAUCAGCGUGGCUUUCUCCCUGACCCGAAAGGGUUGGGAAACCCGUUGAAUCUCCUUCGUGAUAGGGAUUGGGGCUUGAAAUUGUUCCCCAUGAACGAGGAAUUCCCAGUAAACGCGAGUCAUCAGCUCGCAUUGAUUACGUCCCUGCCCUUUGUACACACCGCCCGUCGCACCUACCGAUUGAAUGUUUCGGUGAAGAUUCCGGAUAGGACUUUUUUGAUUUAUUUCAAUUUUGUCUUAAAAGCUAUCUAAACCUCAACAUUUAGAGGAAGGUGAAGUCGUAACA